UACAGAGGUCCCAAGCGUUGUUCGGAUUCAUUGGGCGUAAAGGGUGCGUAGGCGGCGCGGUAAGUCGGGUGUGAAAUCUCCGGGCUUAACUCGGAAAGGUCAACUGAUACUGCGGGACUAGAGUGCGGAAGGGGCAACUGGAAUUCUCGGUGUAGCGGUGAAAUGCGUAGAUAUCGGGAGGAACACCUGAGGCGAAGGCGGGCUACUGGCCGAUACUGACGCUGAUGCGCGAAAGCCAGGGGAGCAAACGGG
rnacentral:rRNA from 1 species